UAUAUAGAAAUUUGGUAAAUAUAGAUUAAAAAUUAAGUUUGUUUUAUUCUCAAUAACUUCGUUGGCAAAAGCCAUUAAAUUCCACGCGGUAAGUGGCUUACUUGAGGUCUAACGUACUUGAUUAUUUACGUUAGUUAGCAUUUAGACAAAAGGACACACGUUUGUAUAAUACUGGGGUAAAUGGUUAAGUAAGAAGAUAAAAUUACCAAACAUUAGGCUACGCUUUGUUCAGUUUCACUGUGGAAAAGACCGCGAAGUGAAGUAUACACAGUGUGGUUUCUGUGGAUGGCCCGCGUGUCUUCAGCAGCGGCAGAAUCCUCGGAGGAACUGGCCUGACUCAUCUGCAUCUGUGACAGAUUUUGAUGUGGGCCGAUCAUGGGUACGCAUACACAAGAUGUUUAUGACCUGCUCCAGCGAAACAAAGGUGGAUCUGGACUCAAAUCCUCAUUGCAAGUGAUUAAAAAAAAAAAUUCCUUGGAAAAAAGACUGGAGUUGUUUUUGGAGCUUAUGAUGCAGGCAGAUGGGACAGUUGCCCUCAGACCAAAGGAGACGUUGACCUAGAGGGAGAUCGGCAGCGAACUUGCAUGCUAAAACGGCAUGAAAGUUACAGCCCUCAUGUGGGACAAACAGCAGAGAAGGGCUUCACACCAGGCAACACAUGCAAAAUUGACAAGAGGAUGUGGGGGAAAAAAGGGGUUGGACGAGGAUGAAUAAAACAAAUCAUGGUGCUUGACUGGAGGUGAUUUGAAAAAUUCUUUGUCUUCAUUUACGCUUGAGAAUAAUAUUACGUCCCGACAGGAGACUGGGCUAGCGAGAGGCUCCAGUCGCACGCAGGGGAUAAAAAAUUAAUUAAAAGAUGAGAGAAAGAAGAAAGGAUGGAUUGAAAAUAAAUACAGACUGCAAUGCCAAACAGUAGGGUCGUUGUUUCAUUGCGAACGCGGGGAGCCCACUGUAAAAAAUGGAUCAUACCCUGCCUCAGAGAAUUAAACUUAGUUUUUGGGAGUGUUUGUGUUUCUAGAGAAACUUUGUCAGGGGAGAUGAAAGCCACAUCUGCUCCACUUCUUUCCAACUAUACAUACGUGUGAAAACUGUUGGUCUGGCAGGCUAGUAUGGACAAGCAGACCCACCGCCAUGAUGAAAGACAAUGGGUCCGGGCUUAAGCCUAUUAACAGUUGGCAAUGUAGAGCCUUUACCCAUGGCGUUGAGUGGCCCC